UCCGUAGGGUGAACCUGCGGAAGGAUCAUUUGUGAAUAAAUAGGGUGUCCAAUUUUACUUGGAACCCGACCUUCUCACAUCUAACCCUGUGCAUCUGUAUUUUAUGGCGAGCAAUUUUCGAAUUGUGAGCCAUUUCACUUUAUAAACACUAGUCUAUGAAUGUAAAAUUUUUUUAACAAUAAAAACUUUCAACAACGGAUCUCUUGGCUCUCGCAUCGAUGAAGAACGCAGCGAAAUGCGAUACGUAAUGUGAAUUGCAGAAUUCAGUGAAUCAUCGAAUCUUUGAACGCAUCUUGCGCUCUCUGGUAUUCCGGAGAGCAUGUCUGUUUGAGUGUCAUGAAUUCUUCAACCCAACUGUUUCUUGUAAACAGCUGGUGUUUGGAUUCUGAGCGCUGCUGGCUUCGUGCCUAGCUCGUUCGUAAUACAUCAGCAUCCCUAAUACAAGUUUGGAUUGACUUGGCGUAAUAGACUAUUCGCUAAGGAUUCAAUGUUCUGCAUUGAGCCAACUUUGUUUAGGAAGCUUCUAAUUGAAAAGUCUACCUUUUGAUUUGAUCUCAAAUCAGGCAGGAUUUCCCGCUGAACUUUAGCAUAUCAAUAGCGGAGGA
rnacentral:rRNA from 1 species